UACGUAGGGGGCAAGCGUUGUCCGGAUUUAUUGGGCGUAAAGAGCGUGUAGGCGGCCAGAUAGGUCUGUUGUGAAAACUCGAGGCUCAACCUCGAGACGCCGAUGGAAACCAUUUGGCUAGAGUCCGGAAGAGGAGAGUGGAAUUCCUGGUGUAGCGGUGAAAUGCGCAGAUAUCAGGAAGAACACCCGUGGCUAAGGCGGCUCUCUAGUACGGUACUGACGCUGAGACGCGAAAGCGUGGGGAGUGAACAGG
rnacentral:rRNA from 1 species